AUGAGUAUCACAAAAGGUGACCUGGAAUGCAUGCUAUUUGAUGAAGACGCAGAACCACAGGCCCUGCCACUCUCUCUUUUGGAGGAAACCACGGAUAAUUUCUCUGAUGAGAUGCAAAUUGGAAUUGGUGCCUUCGCGGUGGUUUAUAAGGCAAGACUUCAUAACAGUGUCAUCGCUGUAAAGAGGUUGUCUAAGGCGUACAUGUUUGAGAAAGAAUUCCACCGAGAGGUGGAAUGUCUCAUGAUGGUGAAGCACAAAAAUGUCGUACGUUUUCUAUGAUAUUGUGUCGACACACAAGGGAGUAUGGCAAGAUACCGAGGUAAGUUUGUUAUGGCAGAUGUGCAACAAAGGUUGCUCUGCUUCGAAUAUCUACAUAAAGGAAGUCUUGAGAAUUAUAUAACAGAUCCAUCCAGCGGGCUUGACUGGAGAACCCGCUACAAUAUAAUUAAGGGCAUCUGUGAGGGGUUAUGUUAUCUUCACCAAAAAAGAAUUCUCCACUUGGAUCUAAAACCAGCGAACAUAUUGUUGGACAACGAUAUGAUGCCGAAAAUUACUGAUUUCGGACUAUCAAGGUGUUUUGAUGAUGACCAAACAAGUGUCAUUACUAGAGACAUAGGCGGAACGAUUGGAUAUUUGGCACCAGAGUUCUCCAACUAUGAAAUCACAAAUAAGUUUGACUAAUACAGUCUUGGUGUUAUUAUUAUAGAGACGUUGACUGGAAGCAAGGGCUAUCAAGCUGUUGAGGAAGUGAGAACGAUUUAUAUAUGUAGUCACUCCAAGUGA
rnacentral:rRNA from 1 species